rnacentral:rRNA from 1 species
GUAGGUGGCAAGCGUUGUCCGGAAUUAUUGGGCGUAAAGCGCGCGCAGGCGGUUCUUUAAGUCUGAUGUGAAAGCCCACGGCUCAACCGUGGAGGGUCAUUGGAAACUGGAGAACUUGAGUACAGAAGAGGAAAGCGGAAUUCCACGUGUAGCGGUGAAAUGCGUAGAGAUGUGGAGGAACACCAGUGGCGAAGGCGGCUUUCUGGUCUGUAACUGACGCUGAGGCGCGAAAGCGUGGGGGAGCAAACAGGAUUAGAUACCCUGGUAGUCCACGCCGUAAACGAUGAGUGCUAAGUGUUAGGGGGUUUCCGCCUCUUAGUGCUGCAGCUAACGCAUUAAGCACUCCGCCUGGGGAGUACGGCCGCAAGGCUG